UAGCUAGUUGGUAGGGUAAAGGCCUACCAAGGCGACGAUCGGUAGCUGGUCUGAGAGGAUGGCCAGCCACACUGGAACUGAGACACGGUCCAGACUCCUACGGGAGGCAGCAGUGGGGAAUAUUGGACAAUGGGGGCAACCCUAAUCCGGCAAUGCCGCGUGUGUGAAGAAGGCCUGAGGGUUGUAAAGCACUUUCAGUGGGGAGGAGGUUAAUUUGGUUAAGAGCUGGAUUGAUGGACGUUACCCACAGAAGAAGCACCGGCUAACUCCGUGCCAGCAGCCGCGGUAAUACGGAGGGUGCGAGCGUUAAUCGGAAUUACUGGGCGUAAAGGGUGCGUAGGUGGUUAUUUAAGUUAUCUGUGAAAUCCCUGGGCUCAACCUGGGCAGGUCAGAUAAUACUGAGUGACUCGAGUAUAGGAGAGGGUAGUGGAAUUUCCGGUGUAGCGGUGAAAUGCGUAGAGAUCGGAAGGAACACCAGUGGCGAAGGCGGCUACCUGGCCUAAUACUGACACUGAGGCACGAAAGCGUGGGGAGCAAACAGGAUUAGAUACCCUGGUAGUCCACGCUGUAAACGAUGUCAACUAGCUGUUGGUUAUAUGAAUAUAAUUAGUGGCGC
rnacentral:rRNA from 1 species